rnacentral:tRNA from 1 species
GCAUUGGUGGCUUAGUAGUAGUGUUUUCCUUUGUGAUGUGAGAGCCCUGGGUUUGAUUCCCAACUAAUGCA